AAUGAGGAUCAACUGGAGGGUAAGUUUGGUGUUAGUAGCCGUGGUAAUUCCAGCUUCAGUAGCGUAUAUUAAAGUUGUUGUAGUUAAAAAGCUCGUAGUUGGAUUUUUGGUUUGACAAACCUGGCCCGCCACGGUUACGUGUGUGAGUGCCGGUGUAUGUCUGCCAUCCUUCUGGUCAACGUGUCUACCCUUUAUUGGGUUGGAUACGCGAUCCAGAUUAUUUACUUUGAAAAAAUUAGAGUGUUUAAAGCAGGUGUUUGCUAUGAAUAUAUUAGUAUGGAAUAAUAAUUUAGGACUUUGGCCCUAUUUUGUUGGUUUUUAGGACUGAAGUAAUGAUUGAUAGGGAUAGUUGGGGGUGCUCGAAUUCAGCGGCCAGAGGUGAAAUUUUUGGAUUCGCUGAAGAUGAAUUUAUGUGAAAGUAUUCACCAAGGAUGUCUUCUUUAAUCAAGAAUGAAAGUUGGGGGAUUGAAGACGAUUAGAUAUUGUUGUAGUCUCAACCAUAAAUUAUGUUGACUAGGGAUCAGCGAAUGUUGUAUUUUUGACUUCGUUGGCACCUUAUGAGAAAUUAAAGUUUUUGGGUUUCGGGGGGAGUAUGGUUGUAAGGUUGAAACUUAAAGGAAUUGACGGAAGGGCACCACCAGGAGUGGAGCCUGCGGCUUAAUUUGAUUUAACAUGGGAAAAUUUAUUAGGUCCGGAUAUAGUGAGGAUUGAUAGAUUGAAGAUUUUUCUUGAUUCUAUGGGUGGUGGUGCAUGGCCGUUUUUAGUUGGUGGAGUGAUUUGUUUGGUUAAUUCCGUUAACGAACGAGACCUCGACCUGCUAAAUAGUUCGGUAAAUCCUUCUGGAUUUACUUUGGACUUUUUAGAGGGACUAUCGGUGUGUAGCCGAUGGAAGUUCGAGGCAAUAACAGGUCUGUGAUGCCCUUAGAUGCCCUGGGCCGCACGCGCGCUACACCGAUGCGUUCAUUGAGUUUAUAACCUUGACUGAGAGGUCUGGGUAAUCUUUUGAAAUCGCAUCGUGCUGGGGAUAGAUGAUUGUAAUUAUUCAUCUUUAAUGAGGAAUUCCUAGUAAAUGCAAGUCAUUAGCUUGCAUUGAUUACGUCCCUGCCCUUUGUACACACCGCCCGUCGCUGCUACCGAUUGAGCGAUUUGAUGAACCUCAGGGACUGCUGCUUUCGGUUGGGUUUUUUUCCGUUUGUGUGUGGGAACUGAUGUGAAUCUACUCGCUUAGAGGAAGCAAAAGUUGUAAUAAGGUU
rnacentral:rRNA from 1 species